rnacentral:rRNA from 1 species
UACGUAGGUGGCAAGCGUUGUCCGGAUUUACUGGGCGUAAAGAGCGCGUAGGCGGUCAGCACAAGUCAGUUGUGAAAUCUCCGGGCUUAACUCGGAAAGGUCAACUGAUACUGUGCGACUAGAGUGCAGAAGGGGCAACUGGAAUUCUCGGUGUAGCGGUGAAAUGCGUAGAUAUCGAGAGGAACACCUGCGGCGAAGGCGGGUUGCUGGGCUGACACUGACGCUGAUGCGCGAAAGCCAGGGGAGCGAACGGG